rnacentral:rRNA from 1 species
CACGGAGCUUGCUCUGUGGGAUCAGUGGCGAACGGGUGAGUAACACGUGAGCAACCUGCCCCUGACUCUGGGAUAAGCGCUGGAAACGGCGUCUAAUACUGGAUAUGUGACGUGACCGCAUGGUCUGCGUUUGGAAAGAUUUUUCGGUUGGGGAUGGGCUCGCGGCCUAUCAGCUUGUUGGUGAGGUAAUGGCUCACCAAGGCGUCGACGGGUAGCCGGCCUGAGAGGGUGACCGGCCACACUGGGACUGAGACACGGCCCAGACUCCUACGGGAGGCAGCAGUGGGGAAUAUUGCACAAUGGGCGAAAGCCUGAUGCAGCAACGCCGCGUGAGGGAUGACGGCCUUCGGGUUGUAAACCUCUUUUAGCAGGGAAGAAGCGAAAGUGACGGUACCUGCAGAAAAAGCGCCGGCUAACUACGUGCCAGCAGCCGCGGUAAUACGUAGGGCGCAAGCGUUAUCCGGAAUUAUUGGGCGUAAAGAGCUCGUAGGCGGUUUGUCGCGUCUGCUGUGAAAUCCCGAGGCUCAACCUCGGGCCUGCAGUGGGUACGGGCAGACUAGAGUGCGGUAGGGGAGAUUGGAAUUCCUGGUGUAGCGGUGGAAUGCGCAGAUAUCAGGAGGAACACCGAUGGCGAAGGCAGAUCUCUGGGCCGUAACUGACGCUGAGGAGCGAAAGGGUGGGGAGCAAACAGGCUUAGAUACCCUGGUAGUCCACCCCGUAAACGUUGGGAACUAGUUGUGGGGUCCAUUCCACGGAUUCCGUGACGCAGCUAACGCAUUAAGUUCCCCGCCUGGGGAGUACGGCCGCAAGGCUAAAACUCAAAGGAAUUGACGGGGACCCGCACAAGCGGCGGAGCAUGCGGAUUAAUUCGAUGCAACGCGAAGAACCUUACCAAGGCUUGACAUAUACGAGAACGGGCCAGAAAUGGUCAACUCUUUGGACACUCGUAAACAGGUGGUGCAUGGUUGUCGUCAGCUCGUGUCGUGAGAUGUUGGGUUAAGUCCCGCAACGAGCGCAACCCUCGUUCUAUGUUGCCAGCACGUAAUGGUGGGAACUCAUGGGAUACUGCCGGGGUCAACUCGGAGGAAGGUGGGGAUGACGUCAAAUCAUCAUGCCCCUUAUGUCUUGGGCUUCACGCAUGCUACAAUGGCCGGUACAAAGGGCUGCAAUACCGUGAGGUGGAGCGAAUCCCAAAAAGCCGGUCCCAGUUCGGAUUGAGGUCUGCAACUCGACCUCAUGAAGUCGGAGUCGCUAGUAAUCGCAGAUCAGCAACGCUGCGGUGAAUACGUUCCCGGGUCUUGUACACACCGCCCGUCAAGUCAUGAAAGUCGGUAACACCUGAAGCCGGUGG